AUGUUUGUUUACAGAGGAUGUUUGUUUACAGAGGAUGUUUGUUUACAGAGGAUGUUUGUUUACGUGCUGCUUUGUUGCCAUUUGCUUUGUACCUUUGUUAUUAUUAUAUUGAAGGAGUUGAGACAAAACGUGUUAACCUCUUACCACACACACACACUGUGUGUGUCCCCUUCCCUCUUACCACACACACACUGUGUGUGUCCCCUUCCCUCUUACCACACACACACUGUGUGUGUCCCCUUCCCUCUUACCACACACACACUGUGUGUGUCCCCUUCCCUCUUACCACACACACACACUGUGUGUGUCCCCUUCCCUCUUACCACACACACACUGUGUGUGUCCCCUUCCCUCUUACCACACACACACUGUGUGUGUCCCCUUCCCUCUUACCACACACACACUGUGUGUGUCCCCUUCCCUCUUACCACACACACACUGUGUGUGUCCCCUUCCCUCUUACCACACACACACUGUGUGUGUCCCCUUCCCUCUUACCACACACACACUGUGUGUGUCCCCUUCCCUCUUACCACACACACACUGUGUGUGUCCCCUUCCCUCUUACCACACACACACUGUGUGUGUCCCCUUCCCUCUUACCACACACACACUGUGUGUGUCCCCUUCCCUCUUACCACACACACACUGUGUGUGUCCCCUUCCCUCUUACCACACACACACUGUGUGUGUCCCCUUCCCUCUUACCACACACACACUGUGUGUGUCCCCUUCCCUCUUACCACACACACACUGUGUGUGUCCCCUUCCCUCUUACCACACACACACUGUGUGUGUCCCCUUCCCUCUUACCACACACACACACUGUGUGUGUCCCCUUCCCUCUUACCACACACACACACUGUGUGUGUCCCCUUCCCUCUUACCACACACACACUGUGUGUGUCCCCUUCCCUCUUACCACACACACACUGUGUGUGUCCCCUUCCCUCUUACCACACACACACUGUGUGUGUCCCCUUCCCUCUUACCACACACACACUGUGUGUGUCCCCUUCCCUCUUACCACACACACACACUGUGUGUGUCCCCUUCCCUCUUACCACACACACACUGUGUGUGUCCCCUUCCCUCUUACCACACACACACUGUGUGUGUCCCCUUCCCUCUUACCACACACACACUGUGUGUGUCCCCUUCCCUCUUACCACACACACACACUGUGUGUGUCCCCUUCCCUCUUACCACACACACACUGUGUGUGUCCCCUUCCCUCUUACCACACACACACUGUGUGUGUCCCCUUCCCUCUUACCACACACACACACUGUGUGUGUCCCCUUCCCUCUUACUACACACACACUGUGUGUGUCCCCUUCCCUCUUACCACACACACACUGUGUGUGUCCCCUUCCCUCUUACCAUAGAAUUAUUAGCUCAAGUUCAAACGCCAUUGUUUGA
rnacentral:lncRNA from 1 species